rnacentral:rRNA from 1 species
CCCUUAGAUGUUCUGGGCCGCACACGCGCUACACUGAAGGAGGCAGCGUGUACUCCUGGAUCGAAAGAUUUGGGUAACCCGCGAAUCUCCUUCGUGCUAGGGAUUGAGGUUUGCAAUUAUCCUUCAUGAACGAGGAAUUCCCAGUAAGUGCAAGUCAUAAGCUUGCGCUGACCACGUCCCUGCCCUUUGUACACACCGCCCGUCGCUACUACCGAUUGAAUGAUUUAGUGAGGACUUCGGACUGGGACCGAUGCGGCUUUCGGGCUGCGUCGGUAUUCUGGAAAGAUGUCCAAACUGUAUCAUUUAGAGGAAGUAAAANUCGUAACA